UACGGGGGGGGCAAGCGUUGUUCGGAAUUAUUGGGCGUAAAGUGCUCGUAGGCGGCCAACUAAGUCAGACGUGAAAUCCCCAGGCUCAACCUGGGAACUGCGUCUGAUACUGGAUGGCUUGAAUCCGGGAGAGGGAUGCAGAAUUCCAGGUGUAGCGGUGAAAUGCGUAGAUAUCUGGAGGAAUACCGGUGGCGAAGGCGGCAUCCUGGACCGGCAUUGACGCUGAGGAGCGAAAGCCAGGGGAGCAAACGGG
rnacentral:rRNA from 1 species